rnacentral:rRNA from 1 species
ACGGGUGAGUAACGCGUGGGAAUCUACCCAACCCUACGGAAUAACGCAUGGAAACGUGUGCUAAUACCGUAUACGCCCUUAGGGGGAAAGAUUUAUCGGGGAUGGAUGAGCCCGCGUUGGAUUAGCUAGUUGGUGGGGUAAAGGCCUACCAAGGCGACGAUCCAUAGCUGGUCUGAGAGGAUGAUCAGCCACAUUGGGACUGAGACACGGCCCAAACUCCUACGGGAGGCAGCAGUGGGGAAUAUUGGACAAUGGGCGCAAGCCUGAUCCAGCCAUGCCGCGUGAGUGAUGAAGGCCCUAGGGUUGUAAAGCUCUUUCACCGGUGAAGAUAAUGACGGUAACCGGAGAAGAAGCCCCGGCUAACUUCGUGCCAGCAGCCGCGGUAAUACGAAGGGGGCUAGCGUUGUUCGGAAUUACUGGGCGUAAAGCGCACGUAGGCGGAUAUUUAAGUCAGGGGUGAAAUCCCGGGGCUCAACCCCGGAACUGCCUUUGAUACUGGGUAUCUAGAGUCCAGAAGAGGUGAGUGGAAUUCCGAGUGUAGAGGUGAAAUUCGUAGA